rnacentral:rRNA from 1 species
UACGUAGGGUGCAAGCGUUAAUCGGAAUUACUGGGCGUAAAGCGUGCGCAGGCGGUUUUGUAAGUCUGACGUGAAAUCCCCGGGCUUAACCUGGGAACUGCAUUUGUGACUGCAAGGCUGGAGUGCGGCAGAGGGGGAUGGAAUUCCGCGUGUAGCAGUGAAAUGCGUAGAUAUGCGGAGGAACACCGAUGGCGAAGGCAAUCCCCUGGGCCUGCACUGACGCUCAUGCACGAAAGCGUGGGGAGCAAACAGG